GCGGAUAUGUUGGAAUUGGUAGACAAAUCAGAUUUAGGUUCUGAUGAAUUUUUUUCGUGGGGGUUCAAGUCCCUCUAUCCGUA
rfam:Ostreococcus tauri mitochondrion, complete genome.